UUUCCAAUUCUAAAUGCGUAAUGCUCUUUCCCAAAAGAUUAGCUAUUACAAGGUUUCCCCAAACUAUGAGAUCCUGAUGUUUGAUACGGACGUUACACGGAUAAUCUCUUUGAGGGACUUCAAAAGUAAUGAAUUUUCAAGAAACCUAACAAAGGUUUUUGAAGAUCUGGACAAUUUUAAUUAUGAUGAUCAAACAGAUACUAAUAUCGCCAAACUCUACUGGAACAUUUUACUCAGCAUGCAAAUAGAUGAGCUCUACAAUCCAACAGCCUUCCUUGAGACCCAACAUAUCGUCAUCGUAUUCACUGAUGGUAUUGACUCCUAUGCAAGACAAACAUGGGGGGAAUCCCGCACCUAAAGUGGACCAAAUUAAACAGCUUGUCACCAAACAUGAUCCAAAGUGAGAGGAGAAACUCGCACUUUAUGUAUUUGGAGUUGGAGUUGACAUAAAAAUAGAAAAUAUAAAUCGCUUAGCAUCACACAGGGACAAAGAAAAACAUGUAUUUAAGCUUCCAGACUUGGACGAGGUGCAGAAGAUAUUUGACAGAAUGAUUGGUACUGUAUCUAUAAUUCACUCAUAUGUGAAAUUUGAAUAUCUAUUCAGCAUAU